GUAGGUGGCAAGCGUUGUCCGGAAUUAUUGGGCGUAAAGCGCGCGCAGGCGGUUCUUUAAGUCUGAUGUGAAAGCCCACGGCUCAACCGUGGAGGGUCAUUGGAAACUGGAGAACUUGAGUACAGAAGAGGAAAGCGGAAUUCCACGUGUAGCGGUGAAAUGCGUAGAGAUGUGGAGGAACACCAGUGGCGAAGGCGGCUUUCUGGUCUGUAACUGACGCUGAGGCGCGAAAGCGUGGGGAGCAAACAGGGAUUAGAUACCCUGGUAGUCCACGCCGUAAACGAUGAGUGCUAAGUGUUAGGGGGGUUUCCGCCCCCUUAGUGCUGCAGCUAACGUAUUAAGCACUCCGCCUGGGGAUACGGCCGCAAGGCUG
rnacentral:rRNA from 1 species